CGCACAACCGGUGGAGUAUGUGCUUUAAUUCGAUGCAACGCGAAGAACCUUACCAGGGUUUGACAUCCUGCGAAUCCCUUGGAAACGAGGGAGUGCCUUCGGGAGCGCAGAGACAGGUGGUGCAUGGCUGUCGUCAGCUCGCGUCGUGAGAUGUUGGGUUAAGUCCCGCAACGCAGCGCAACCCACGUCGUUAGUCGCCAGCAUUCAGUUGGGCACUCUAGCGAGACCGCCGGUGAUAAACCGGAGGAAGGUGUGGAUGACGUCAAGUCAUCAUGCCCCUUACAUCCUGGGCUACACACGUACUACAAUGCUACGGACAAAGGGUUGCAAGCUCGCGAGAGUCAGCUAAUCCCAUAAACCGUGGCUCAGUUCAGAUCGUAGGCUGCAACUCGCAUACGUGAAGGAGGAAUCGCUAGUAAUCGCAGGUCAGCAUACUGCGGUGAAUACGUUCCCGGGCCUUGUACACACCGCCCGUCACACCAUGGAAGUUGGCCACGCCCGAAGUCGUUACUCCAACCUUGUGGAGGAGGACGCCGAAG
rnacentral:rRNA from 1 species